GUGUUUGCUUUGGCAGCACAUAUACUAAAAUUGGAACAAUACAGAGAAGAUUAGCAUGGUUCCUGUGCAAGGAUGACAUGCAAAUUCAUGAACCAUUCCAUAUUUUA